rnacentral:lncRNA from 1 species
AUUCAUUACCCAGAAUCUUGUCACGCUUAAGAGUUCCCAACUGGAGUUCCCAACUCGCCAUUGAACUCUAACAAUUUAUGAUAUCAACUUGAUAACCCUUUGAAAAAACGAGAUCCAUACACCUUUUCAUUACUCAAAGCAGAAUGAUUUACUUAAGAGGUUGGCGUACGGAGGCAUAGUCUUAGAGAUAUAGACAUUUAUGGAACAAUAUUGUCCAUAAACAAGAUAAGAACAACUACAUCACAAACCUAAUCAACAUAUAGUGUCUAAAGCAUAUAAUGCUAAUAGAUUCGCCGCGGUCGGACCAUCAUUCUAUAGACACUAAGCAUGACUAAGAAUAUGAGGUAGUACUAAAAGGAGAAACAAAUCAAAUAACCUAAUGCUCUGAUACCAACUGUCAAGACCCACCCCGAAUUUCACCUUGAAACCCGAAGUAAAUCCUACGGGGACCACCUCCAAGGAAAAUUUACCGAAAAUUUGGCAUAACCUCCCUUAAAAAUGGACAACCCUUCCUAAUAAUACCUGCAUACACUUCAAAAGAAUCUAUCUAUAACCCUCUACUCCUGGAGCCUUCGUGCUCCUCAAAACACAACAUCUCCCCAUUUAUUUACUAACUUUAAUAAGAAAAACUCACAACUAACAAUCACAAGUUCAGAGUAACUCUAUUAGAGGAGAAAUGAACUAAAAAUAUAUAAAUGAGCGGAACCUAUACUAUUGACUAUGCCUCGUCUCCAUGUAUGCCCGACCUCAACUAUGCAAUCCUAAAACCGGGCAUUUUUAAAACGAAGGGCCCAGGGGAAAACAUUUGAAAACGUUAGAGUGAGUGGACAAAAGUAAAUUUAAAAGAAACGAGCAAUAAAUAUCUUUAUGCUUUCCCAAUUUAAUUUCCGAAGAAAAGCGAAUGCAUGCUUCAAACGAUAAAACUUUCAACUCAGAAAAAUAUCGAGCCUCUCAAACUCUACAAUAUAUAUGUAUGUAUUUACACACGUCCAUACUCCCUAUAUAAAUUUUAUGGAUUUAUAUAUGGCUACUACGCUCGCGUCCAACGCUCACGUCACGCCUUAAUGCGGUGCUACACUACGUCAUUAAGGUGGACAGACGAGUGUAUAUGAAUUAAACACUCAUAUAGGACUAUUACGCUCACGUCCAACGUUCACGUCACAUCAUAAUGUGGCUAUAUGCUACGCCAUUAAAGUGGACAGACACAUAUGGCUAGCUAGCAUUUAUAUACAUACUCUCGUCAUAAAUACAUAUUUAUAUUCACCAAAAAUCCCAUUUUCGGUAACUCUCCAAGAGAAAUAAAACCGUCAAAAUUAAAAUGUCGUCAAAUGCUCCAACAAAAUUAAUUGUUCAUCCAUGAACCAUAGCAUUCAUAUUAUUUAAAACAAAAGUUUACUCACAACUCUAGGCAUAAGCCUGACGAAAUCCAAAUCGCCACUCUAGUGAGGUCACUUCGAAUCCUGGCACAAUAAUCAUGCUUAGAACCAAACUUUAAUUUCAGAAAAAGAAUACUUAAAUAUAAAACCCAAAACUAUUCUGCCUAACCUAUUACCCUUUCUAGGGUUAAGCUUAUUAGAUUCAUGCCAAACUCCACCCGCAGCCUCGUUUCAUUUAUUUCAACAUUCCAAAACAAUAAUAAAGAAAAUCCAACGGUUAGAUUCUACCCCAAGAACCGUCAAAUUCACCAAUCUUUGAAAAAUCUCAAACCUAUCCAAAACUCCAAAAAUUCCAAACUUCACAUCAUUAAACUCCCCUUAAAAAACACAUUUAAAACCCUUAAAAUCCCCCUAACAGCGGCGGCCGGCGACUGAUUCCGGCAACCUCCAAUGCCUACCAAAAUUUGGCAGCAUCUUCCUCUCAACCCACUCUACAACUUUCCUACUAGCACAAACACCAAUUCCAAGCCUAGAUAGGACAAUCGAACCAAAACAUAAAAUGGAACCCUAGAAUUUCAACUCACUGGUUCUCCUUACCUAUCCCAAGAGAGGGUGAAUCCUUUUAAGGGGUUGAAGCACGGGAGGAGGGCUUCCAAACGAGCCAAGCGGCUCCGGCUAUGGCAGCCGGAGGAGGGUGUUCCGGCGACGGAGAGCUACGGGCAGCCGGACCUUUCGGGCGUGGUUUCUCUCUCACGGUGGCGCUAGGGGGGCUGCCACCGGUCCAAGAAGGAGGCUGGGUCGGAGGCCGACCGAUUGGGACAAGAGCGGCGGUCAGCGGUGGCCGGACGACGGCAGACGAGCGCCGGAAAAAUCCUGGCAGGGGGAGAGCUCGGGGAAAAAUCGGGAGGGAAGAGAGAGAAGUGAGGGAAAAGAGAGAAAAUGGUUUGGGCUUCCAAACCGGCCAACCCAUUUAAAACCCAACUCCAACAAUUUAACACCCCAAAAUAAAUACCCUAUUAAAAAUUACCUUUUAUUAGCUAAAAUUUACCAUUUUUACCGUCGUCACCAUUUUCUCCUACGAAUAACUCUCCAUAAUAAUCGUCCCUCAAAACAUCUCUAGGGACUUUUGAAACUAUAAUCUCGAUGACGAAAACGGUAAAACUCAUAUUAAUACCAAGCUAGUAAAUAAGGUAAAAUUUUAAAGUCGGGAUGUGACACUUGUUGCAUAAGUAUUAUGUUUGGGUGAGAUCCUCAUUUGAAUUUCAAAUUGACAACUAAGAUAAAGGUCUUGCCUUGGUGCUCAAAUUAGUCUAUGGUUUGAUGUCUUUAUCUCAACCCGUGACCCAUGAUUUAGCUCUUAGGCUCCAGCUGUGGUUUGCUGUGUUUGUGAUACACAAUUUUUGCAGCUAUCUUUGUUUUAUACCAGAGAAAAAAUGAUUUGCUAAACUAAUGUGGUAUUUUGCUUUUGGGAAAAAGUUUGCAAAACCUUUUGUCUCUUACUCUUAAAUCAAACAUUGUUUAGGAUAGUUUUGUUUGUCUUUUUCUUGGCCAUAGACAGCUGCAUAUGUCCUCUCACUUUCUGAGUUUGGCCAAGGACAAAAGUCCAAAACACUUUCCUUGCUUUGGCCCUCGUGCCUGCCCUCUUAGGGCACCUCAUUAGCUUGUGUCUCUCUCUUGUUAGAGCACUCCAUGAGCGUAUAUGUCACAUCCCGGUUCUUAAGUUAAUUUGCAGUUAUUUAGUUUUGUGUUACUUUAACCUUUUACCAUUUUGAGUAACUGUUUUCUAUUCAAGGACUCUAGAGUUGACUUUUUGUAGGAAAAUUAUUUUGGAAAAAUUUCAUGAAAGAAGUCGUAGAGGACAUUAGUACGAAUCCGUAGACAUGCUAUACGUUAAAAUCGGAGUUCGUAUGUAAAAGUUAUGGUGUAAAUAUAAAAUUACUAUUUUCGGUUGGGGGUAUAAAAAGGGAAACUUACCGAAAGAGGUAAGGUAGAAAAACAGAAAGNNNNNNNNNNNNNNNNNNNNACUCUCUCUCUCUCUCUCUCUCUCUCUCUCUCUCUCUCUCUCUCCUCCCUCCCACGCCUCUCCUCCGGCCAGCCACUUCUCAACCUCCGUUCGCCGCCAUCCGGUCGAGUUAGGCGGCAAGGUGAGUACCGAUUUGAAGCUUGGCUCAUCCUCUGUCGAUCUGGGUAGCUGACCGGUGGAGUCGCGCCGUUGUGAGGGAGUAUGAUGGCCGUGAAGUCACGGUUAUGCCGCAGAGGUGUUCUUGCCGUAACUCUUUUUUCCGGCCACCAAAAUCGGAGCUGCUGGUCUCGUUUUGUAGCUCUCCUCCUUCACAACAAAACCUCAAAAGAUUUUAAUCCAUCUUGAGCUAGGUAAAGAGAAUCAGGCAUUUGAAAUUCUAGGGUAUAAAUUGGGAUUUUUGUUGUUUUGGUUCGAUUACCCUAGUUAGACUUAGAAUUGGACUUUGUGCUAGUUAAGGAAGUUGUUGUGUGUGUUGAGAGGAAGAUUGUGUCAAAUUUUGGUGAGCAUCGGAGGUCGCCGGAGUAGGGGUUGCUGGCGGAGCAUGCGGCGGUGCCACCACUUUUGGGUAGUUUUUCAUGUUAAUUAAUGUGUUAUGCUGUGAAGAGUUCACUGUUGUUAAGUUUGAAAUUUUUGGAGAACUUUUGGUUAAGUUUGGGAUUUUUCAAAAAUUGGAGAACUUGGCGGUUGGUAGAAUAGAUCUGGCCAUUGGAUUUUCUUGAUUAUGGUCCUAAAGUGCUAGAACCGAUGAAGUGAGGUUGUAGUUGAAGUUUGUUGAAAGUCUAAUUAGCUUAAUCCUAGCUUGAUUAGUGGGUUAGGUGGAAGGAUUUCUGUGCUUAUGUUAAAACAUUUAUUUUUUUCCUAAAUUGAAGAGUGGUUCUAAACAUAUUUAAUGUGCCAGGAUACGAGGGGACCUCGCUUGAGUGACGAUUUAGAUAUCAGCGGGCUUAUGCCUAAAUUUUUUAGUGGACAUUUUGGUUUUAAAUAAAUAUGCAUGCAAGAUUUUAUAAUUUAUUGGAGCUGAUCUUGGAAAUUAUUUGAGUUUAUAUUAUAAUUUCGGCUUAUGAGCUGAUCUUGGAAAUUAUUUGAGUUUGAAGCAUUGAUUAAUGGUUGAUCAUGAUUUAUGGAUUUGAGCUCGGAUUAUUAAUUUGGUAUUUGAGUUUAGAUAUUCUUUAUAAAUUCCGGAUUUCAUUAUGAUUAUUUUAUUUGUGGACUUUGAGAUUUAUAAAAGAUUUCUGAAAAUAGAAUUUUCGGUAGUUCGCUAUUUAUAAUUUUCGCAUUUAUUUAUGGAAUAUCGAUCUUGACUUUAAGAAUAUUUUAGCAAGUAUUUUGGAUUGAGAUAAUAUUUACGAUUUUUACUUGUUAAUUAACUCUCGCUUAAUUAUAUUAUGGUUUUGAGAAUAAUUUGACGUGUGAGACACGUCAUUUAGUUUUAUGUUAAUUUCUUAUGAUAAUUUUCAAGUACGGUUGGGAACCAUACCAUUCGCAUGAUUUUGGAGAAGUUUUAUGGAUUUAAGUGAUUUCAUAUGUUUUAGUCACCAUACUAGAGUCAUUAUUAUUCAUUACUAGCUAGCCUUUAUUAUUGGUCCUCACCAUAGGUGAGUCGAGCGCUUAGCGUGAGAUGCUACUAUAGCUUGGGAGGCACCGAUCGGAUAUUAUUAUUUAUUGCUAGCUAGCCUUAUCAGCGGUCCUCACCAUAGGUGAGUCGAGCGUUUAGCGUGGGACGCUACUAUAACCUGGGAAGCACCGAUCAGAUAUUAUUAUUUAUUGCUAGCUAGCCUUAUCAGCGGUCCUCACCAUAGGUGAGUCGAGCGCUUAAUGUGGGACGCUACUAUAGCUUGGGGGGCACCGACCCGAGCCUUGGAGGCUCCUCUUACAUGGUGAUAACUCUUCCCUUUAUUUUAUUUUUCUCAGUUAUGUAUUUGAUUAACUAGCGAGGCUGAUUUAUCUCUUUUUACGAGAUUUCUUUAUCUGAUUAACCAGCGAGGCUGGUUUGUCCAUUCUUAUGCAAUUCUGAUUAUAUGUUAUGUGGUUUAUCAAAGUUGCGUGCAGCUAAGUUUUAAAUUUGAAAAGUGGGAAAGUAUUUAAAUUACGUAUUUGUUAAAUUGUUUAAUUUAUUUUUGUCCACUCACUCUAAUGUUUUUAAAUUACUUUCCCUUGGGCCCUUUGGUUUUAAAUGCCCAUUUUGCAGGCUAAGUUUAAAUGAGGUCGAGCGUACAUGGAGUCAAGGCAUAGUCAGAGGCUGGUUCUGCUUAUUCUUUAUUCUUUGUUUUUCCUUCAUUAUAGAUAUACUCUGAUAACCGUUUGAGAUUGUUAUUAGUUGAUUAAGGCUUGAUGUUUUUUAGGAGAUGUGAUGAACUUGGGGAGCAGGAAGGCUCCAGGAGUUGAGGAUGGAUGAUUUAUAAUAGAAGUGUUUAUCUGGAAUUUUUCAGGUAAGGGUUGUCCAUUUUCAAGGUAGAUUAUGCCAAAUUUUUGGUAAAUUUUCCUUGGAGGUGGAUCCCGCAAGGUUUACUUCUGGUUUUAGGGUGAAAUUUGGGGUGGGUCCUGACAGUUGAUAUCAGAGCCUAGGUUAUCUGAUUCCUAUCACUACCUCAUAUACUUGGUGAUACUUAGUGUUUAUAGAGUGAUGGUCCGACCGCGGCGGAUCCAUUAGCAUUAUAUGCAUUAGAUGCUAUGUGUUUAUUAUGUAUGUGAGGUAGUUGUUCUUGUCUUAUUUAUGGACAGUAUUGUGCCAUAAAUGUCUACAUCUUCAAGACUAUGCCUCCGUACGCCGACCUCAAAGGGUAUCUUGGUUAUUUUUCGAGUAAUGGAAAGGUAAGUGAUUUGUACCUUUCAUUUGUGCUUUAUUGUGGUUGCGAGAUUUUGAGUUCAGUUAUGAGUUGAGAAGUGACAUGUAUUUGCAGUGUUCUUUUCUUUAUUUAAUGAGUUGUUGACUUAUAUUUAAGUGGCGAGUUGAGCCUUUUUGUGGGUACUAGUGAUAGAGAGGACAUGCAUGUGAAUGAAGGAUUGUAAGUGUAAAUGGCAUUGGUAUAUAAUGGUGAAACGGAUGCGAGAUGGUUGAAGUUGCUUUGACUUUACGGCAACAAAUGAAGAAUUUAAUUCAUGACAUCAUUGGGUAUUCUAAUUUUUAUUUGAGACUGUUGCGUGGAGAUGUUCAACUUAUUUGUUUUAAGCAAUAUGUUUGUUGACAGAUAACUGAACUUGGUAAAUCAAGUGGAGACAUGGAAAUAAAGCUAUUUGCUUUGGACGCCUAGUGGUAGUAAGAAGUUUAGUACCGCUAGUCCAUGAACCAACUCAUUCUUAUCUUUGAGUAUUUCGGUUACAGGGGGAGAAGUGAAGAAACUUGUUGAGAAUUUUGGGAGUUCUAGGUAACUCUAAUCUUCAGUGACGUUGAUCGCUAGAACAAAAAAGUCAGGAAGUUAAGUGUGGCGUGGUUAUCUAUAAAGGUGUUCUUUACAUCGAAAUGUGAAAUUGUUAGGAGAGGAGUGUCGAGAUAAAUUUGAAGUAAUAGUGUGUGUUUGGCGAUACACAAGGAUAGAGUGGUGUAGUUGGAGUUGUUGAUCUUGAAAUAAUUGUUCUUCGCUUUAGCUAUUGUUAUUAGCUGAUACGGAUAAUUCCUAAUAGAAUGAGUGAGAUGUGGAUCUUGAGGUAGUCUAUCCCACAGAUUUAACUUCUAAUUGGAGACUGUUACAGUGGUGAAUUUGACUGGUCGAGACUUGAAGUUGUUGCCGAGGUUUUAUCAAAUUUGAGCAAUUCCAUGCUUCACUUGAGCAUUAAGCAGACGAUGAUGUGGUUGACGCACAGUCUUGAGAAGGAGCAUGCAAUUGUCAAUUCUGCAUUGCUCGAUGGUUAGCAUAUGAACCGAGGUGAUUCGGGGCGUCUCACUUAUAUGAAGAGUGUGACUUGUUGUUAGAGUGCGUUUUUAGACCCCAAAUUCUUUGAGGUAACUACUGGAGCAGCGUGGCGAUCGAUGAGUAUCGUCGAUGUCCUGGGGUGUGCUAAGACCAACUUGUUCUUGAUAUAAGUAAAUUUUUGAGAUUAGUUGUAGAGUCAGGCCUUGCAGGGUGCGGUUCAACACAAGAUUGUUGAUCAAUCAUAUCUUAGUGACAAUGGCGUUCUAGAUUUUUGUACGUAUUCGUACAAUUCGGCAUUCUACGAGGAGUAUUUAUCUUUGGCAUCUAGCAGUUUUGGCAACUUGAGCAUUGGACUCAAGUUUUGUGCUCUCAUCUUCCUUGGACAUUAUGGACCUGUGUGAUCAAGCCAGUCGGACCUAGCAAUCAAAUAGAAGAAAGAAAAUCACUUUGCAUCAUAUGGGGGCAGCAAGAGAGGACGACCUAGUGUUGAAUGAUAGACUGCCUACAUCAGCUGUGCUGACACUUGAUUCGGUCAACUCAGAGUUUGUAUUUUGUUUGUUAGAAUGGUUAUCCGGUGAGUAACUAAGUUGAUUUGAUGUUAGAGUUAAUGUGGGAAUUUCCGUAAUUUGGCAGCUAUUAUUUGUACGAUUCAUUUAUGGGACUUCGACAUUCGUUAACGAUAACGAGAAAUUCAUGGGCAAAGCUCUACUCAGGAAAUGAGAGUAGGUUGUCGUGAUCUUUGGCAUCUUUAGCAACGCAUAAUUAUGCGGAAGAAGUAUAACCCAACGACGAUUUUUUUUCUUAACGUUAUCGGUAAUGGCGGGGCCGUUACUCGAAAAUUCUUGUUCAUCGACUUGAGUUGAUAUGUAGUCUCUAUUAUACAUGAUAAUACAUGAGAAGCAAGUCAUCAAAUAGUGAACUUCCAAUGGUGAUCCUCGGAUUUCGUUGACUCGCUUAAGACUCACUAUUUCGAUUCUCCUCCGUUCGACCAACUGGUAUUAUUAUGGUGAAGGUGAUAAUUGCAGACACAUGUGUUGCGGUAUUAACAACGUGAUUGUCGCAGUAAAUAGUGAACAACUCAUCUCUUCUUGUUUGUGGAAUAAAUACUGUAACCUAAAGGCUCGUCUGCAUGCAAGUUAGAACGAACUUGGUUAGUACGAGGAGAUACUCAUAACUUCUAAGGUAUCGUCAUAUGCCAAGUCAUCGUGUUUUUCCUCAUAUUUGGAGGUGCCAAUUUCGGGUACGAUGAUCGUUUUUUAGGGUGAUAUUUUUCUUGUGCUGGUAAGUUGUUGUUGGUGGUGACUGUUGAAUUAUUAAAGAGGGUUGUGAUUCCGUCGGUUAUUAUUGGUUGUUGGAAUUAUGAACUCCUUGGUGACUGAGGACUGUAAUAAGUCGUGAAUCUUUAGAAUCGCAGAUAUUGGCUGGUAAUGAUCAAAUUGCGGGGCGAAGUAUUGAAAAUAAGAAUAUGAUUGGCUGGUGGUACAGCUUUAAGGAAAAAGAUUCUCGAUGACUCGAAAAAUAUUUCUAGUCAAGACUUGACGGUAUAUUGGCAUAAAUGGUAAAUUGUGACAGGUCAUGUUAAAUGUCUUUCUUGUGAUGCGUAUUCAUACAUGAUCGUAUUGUGGUGGGACCACUUUGGAUCCGUGUAGGACCUGGGAGGUCAUUGUUGUAUGGAUACGAUUUGAGAUACAAGAGACAUUUAGUGUAAGGGUUUGGUAACAUAGAUCGUAUUAGCAUAAUCUUGCGACAAGGGAGAUGUUCGCCGAUCAGCAUAACGAUUGAGGCCAACCACAUAGGUGGUGAAGGUCCAAUUUCGGUGCAAUCGAUCGAGUUAUGUCUUGAUUAAUUGAUGACGAAAGUAUGAUGGUAUUGUGAAUUACGAAGUUUAUUGACCAUUUUGACUUGAUGAAAGUCGAAGUCAUACGUGUGAUUUGAGGUUGUGUAUCAUAAGUAAUUAUAAUCGGGCAAGCCAUUCAAUAAGUGGAAGGUAAGUCAAGGAGCAAGGUGUAUUAUGUGAGUGGAGCCAUGUGGAACGUUGACGGAGUAUUUCAGUUAACCUUGAGUUUGAGAUUUAUUAAAGCAUAUGCACGCCUUGGGUUUGGUAGAUAAGUUAUGACGUGCUAAUGUAAGUGGAAAAGAAUUCGGUUAAUUGUUUCCACAAGUGAAAGGGUGUACUUUGGGGUGGAAGAAAGUUGGAAGAGCUUUGAUUGAUGGGACGAUUUAGCCGAGCGCUUAUUAGAGUCUCAGGUGAAAAGAAGUAACCUUUACCCCCCCCCUUUGCAUGAUUUGAAAUUUCGAGGACUAAAUUUUUAUAAGGAGGGGAGAAUUGUCACAUCCCGGUUCUUAAGUUAAUUUGUGGGUAUUUACUUUUGUGUUACUUUGACUUUUUUCUGUUUUGAGUAACCGUUUUCUAUUCAAGGACCCUAGAGUUGACUUUUUGUAGGAAAAUUAUUUUGGAAAAAUUUCUUUUAGGAAGUCGUAGAGGACAUUAAUACGAAUCUGUAGACAUGCUAUACGUUAAAAUCGGAGUUCGUAUGUAAAAGUUAUGGUGUAAAAUGUAAAAUUACUAUUUUUGGUUAGGGGUAUAAAAAGGGAAACUUACCGGAAAAGGUAAGGUAGAAAAACAGAAAGAUACUCACUCUUUCUCUCUCUCUCUUCUCUCCCGCGCCUCUCCUCCGACCGACCACUUCUCCACCUCCGUUCGCCACCGUCCGGUUGAGUUAGGCGGCAAGGUGGGUACCGAUUUGAAGCUUGGCUCAUCCUCCGUCGAUCUGGGUAGCUGGCCAGUGGAGUCGCACCGCAGUGAGGGAGUACGAUCGCCGUGAAAUCACGACUAUGCCGCGGAGAUGUUCGCGUCGGAACUCCUUUUUUCGGCCAUCAAAAUCGAAGUUGUUGGUCUCGUUUUGAAGCUCUCCUCCUGCACAACAAAACCUCAAAAGGUUUUAAUCCAUCUUAAGCUAGGUAAGGAGAAUCAGGCAUUUGAAAUUCUAGGGUAUAAAUUGGGAUUUUUGUUGUUUUGGUUCGAUUACCCUAGUUAGACUUGGAAUUGAAAUACUGCCCCAAGAAGAGAGUCUUAAACUACUCCCACGACAUAUUCAGCGCAUCCUCAAUAUUCCUGCUGGCAAGCGACCACCAGUGAUGUGCUGAAUCAUCCAGAAAUGUUACUGCUAUCUUCACCUUUCUUUCUUCUGGCAGCUCAGUGCUCGCAAAAGCUUUUUCCAUCUUAUCCACCCAAUUGUGAGCAUCAAGAGGUCCCUUGGCACCCUUGAACUCUCUGGCUCUGGCUUCAAAAACUUCUCUCCUUUUCACAGUAGGAGGGCGUGGAGCUCGAUCCAUGACAUCCCUCAGCAUAUUUCCAAUAUCAUCAACCAGUCCCCUGACCUCAUUGCCCUCAUCGGCAUUGGUCGAAGUGGCCACACGGGGUUGCCGUGGGCGCCUAGGAGGCAUAGUACCUGAGGAAGAAGAAAUUUNNNNNNNNNNNNNNNNNNNNGCCCGGAUUGGUGGCCGGAGGAGCGAGUUCCGGCGAAAGCUUCCGGCGUUCCGGCGGGUUUCUCCUCUUCCGGUGGGUUAGAGGCUCGGGGGCUAGGCCGGGGAGGGAGAGGAGGAGAUGGGGGUCCGAACUGGGGUGGAGCGGCGGCAGCUGGCGGCUGGACGAUCCGGCGGGGAGAGAGCACGGGAGAGAGAAGGAAGAGAAAAGAGAGAAGAAGAGAAAGAGAGGAAAAAUGGGUUGGGCCUCCCAACCGGUCCAACCUUAUCAACCCAACUCAAAAAAUAAAAACACCCCGAAAAAUAAUACCCGAAUAAAAAUUACCUUUUAUUAGCUAAAAUUUAAUAUUUUUACCGUCGUCGUAUUUUCCUCUUACGAAUAAUCCUCCGCACAUAAUCGUCCCGAAACCCCUCUAGGGACCACUUAAACUAUUAACUCAAUGAUCGAGACGGUAAAAUUCUUAUUAUAAUCACGCUAGUAAACAAGGUAAAAAUAUAAGGGUCGGGAUGUGACAAUUCUCCCCUCCUUAUAAAAAUUUCGUCCUCGAAAGUUGCAUACCUGUCAUCCGAAGAGAUAGGGAUACUGCUGCAUCAUUUGCUCCUCUGAUUCCCAAGUAGCUUCUUCUACUAGAUGACUUCUCCAAAGCACCUUGACAAGUGGGAUUGUCUUAUUCCUAAGCACUUGCUCCUUUCGGUCGAGAAUCUGAACCGGUUCCUCUUCAUAGGUCAAAUCCCUCAUCAAACUGAUCGGCUGCUCUUGCAGCACAUGAGAAGGAUCGGCAAUAUACUUGCGAAGUAUGGAUACAUGAAACACAUUAUGUAUCCUAGCUAACUCUGGAGGCAAAAGUAGCCGAUAAGCAAGUGAGCCAACUCGCUCUAUAAUCUCAUAAGGGCCAAUAUAUCUCGGACUAAGCUUCCCACGCUUACCGAAACGCACAACCCCUUUCCAAGGAGAUAAUUUCAGGAACACCCAAUCACCCACUUGAAAUUCAAGAUCUCUCCUACGGACAUCUGCAUAACUCUUCUGCCUACUUUGAGCGGUCUUGAGUCUAUCUCUAACCACUUUAAUCUUCUCAUUCGUAACAUGGAUUAACUUCGGGCCGCAAAGCUCUUUUUCCCCUACUUCAUUCCAACAUAAAGGCGUGCGACACUGCCUCCCAUAAAGAUCCUCAAAGGGAGCCAUACCAAUGCUAGAAUGAUAACUAUUAUUAUAGGCCAAUUCCAUCAAAGAUAGGUUUUUAUCUCAACUCCCUCUGAACUGCAUGGCACAAGCCCUCAACAUAUCCUCCAAAGUCUGAAUAGUCCUCUCGGACUGCCCAUCAGUCUGAGGAUGAAAAGCAGUGCUGAAGAGUAAUUGGGUACCUAAAGCUUCCUGAAGAGCUCCCCAGAAUUUAGAAGCAAAUCGAGGAUCCCGAUCUGACACUAUUGAUUCAGGAACACCAUGAAACCUCACAAUUUAUACUUCUUUCCCACUGGCAAGAAAUGUGCAGACUUGGUGAGUCGAUCCACAAUCACCCAAAUACCGUCAUGCCCUUCACGGGUACGAGGUAAACUGAAAACGAAAUCCAUGGUGAUGUGGUCCCACUUCCACACUGGAAUAGGCAACGGCUCAAGCAAUCCAGAAGGCUUCUGCCUUUCAGCUUUUACUUGCUGACAAACCAGACAUCUACUCACAUAAGCUACAAUUUCCCUCUUCAUGUUUGGCCACCAAUAAUAAUCCUUCAAAAUCCGAUACAUUUUGGUGCUACCCGGAUGAGCAGCAUAAGCAGAACUAUGAGCUUCCUCCAUAAUCUCACUCUUCAACUCUUCAUUUCUUUUUGGAACACAUAGCCGAUUCUUAAACAAUAGAGUCCCAUCUCUCCUAACUGAAAAAUGAUCGGCUGCGGCUCCAUUCGAAGCUCUUUCCAUCAAUCGAACUAUGGAAGGAUCAUUAUACUGUGCUUCCCUCACUCUAUCAACCAAAACUGGCCUCACAUGAAAACUGGCUAUCAAAGCACCAACCUCAUCUACUGAUAAAUCCACUCCUGUAGCUCGCAACUCACAGAGAAGCGGAACACGAACCAUCUUUAUAUGAGAUAAAGAUAUGGAGAGAUUUCGACUAAGAGCAUCCGCUACCACAUUAGCUUUUCCAGGGUGAUACUCAAUAGUGCAAUCAUAAUCAUUGAUUAACUCCAUCCAUCUUCUCUGUCUCAUAUUAAGCUCUCUUUGAGUGAACACAUACCGAAGACUCUUGUGAUCGGUAAAUAUCUGACACUUGGCUCCGUAAAGAUAGUGUCUCCACAACUUGAGAGCAAAAACUACCGCUGCAAGCUCCAGAUCAUGAGUAGGAUAAUUCCCCUCAUGCGUCUUCAAUUGCCUAGAAGCGUAGGCAAUAACUCGAUCAUGCUGCAUCAAAACUCCACCUAGACCACGUCUAGAAGGAUCACAAAAAACCACAUACUCUCCACUAUCAUCCGGAAGUGCCAAAACAGGAGCACUUGUCAAGCAAUUCUUCAAUUCUUGAAAACUUUGCUCGCACUGAUCUGACCAUUCAAACUUAACCCCCUUCCUGGUCAACUUUGUGAGAGGAGCAGCAAUCUUUGAAAAAUCUUUCACAAAGUGCCAAUAAUAACCUGCUAAUCCCAAGAAACUACGAAUCUACGUCACAGUGGUGGGUCUUCUCCAAUUCGACACUGCUUCCACCUUUUGGGGAUCCACACAAACUCCUUCUGCCGAAAUCACAUGACCCAAAAACCCCACUUUAUCUAGCCAAAACUCACACUUGCUAAACUUAGCAAAUAACUGCAACUUUUCCAAAGUCCGCAAUAUUAUUCUUAGAUGCUUGGCAUGCUCCUUCUCACUUCUUGAGUAAACCAAUAUAUCAUCUAUGAAUACGAUCACGAAACGAUCAAGAUAUGGACUAAACACCCUAUUCAUGAGAUCCAUGAACGCCGCGGGUGCAUUAGUAAGUCCAAAAGGCAUCACCACAAAUUCAUAAUGACCAUAACGUGAUCGGAAAGCAGUCUUGGCUAUGUCACCCUCUCGGAUCCGCAACUGAUGAUAUCCCGAUCUCAAAUCAAUCUUGGAGAAAACAGAAGCACCUCUCAACUGAUCAAACAAAUCAUCGAUCCGAGGCAACGGAUAUUUAUUCUUCACUGUGACCUGAUUCAACUUCCUAUAAUCAAUGCAUAGUCUCAUGGUGCCGUCUUUCUUCUUAACAAACAACACCGGAGCACCCCAUGGAGACAUGCUAGGCCGAAUAAAACCCUUAUCUACCAACUCCUGCAAUUGAGUCUUCAACUCUUUCAAUUCCGCUGGAGCCAUUCUAUAAGGUGCCUGAGAGAUAAGCAUAGUUCCAGGAAGUAAUUCUAUAGAGAAGUCUAUCUCCCUUGCAGGAGGCAAAGCAGGCAACUCCUCAGGAAAAACAUCCGGAAACUCCCUUACUACUGGAAUAUCUUCUAAUCCCACAACUCCCAUACUUGUAUCCACCACAUGAGCUAAAAAUGCCUGACAGCCUUUACUCAACAAUUUCCUUGCAACAACAGCAGAAAUUAUGCAACUAGAAAUAACAUCUCUUUCCCCUUGGAAAGCAACCUCAAAACCAUCUGGACUUCGAAGUACCACUACUUUCUGAAAACAAUCUACCAUAGCUCUAUAUGCUUCCAAAAAGUCCAUUCCCAAGAUCACAUCAAACUCCACUAUAUCUAGAGGAAUUAAAUCAGCCUCAAAAUUAACUCCUUCCACUAAAACUUCACAACCACUAAACACCCAAUUUAUUCUCAUCACCUCACCGGAGGGUAGAGACACAUGCCACUCACGUGGAAGAGACGAUGAUGGCACAUUGGCAUGGAGGGCAAAUUUACUAGACAUGAAUGAAUGCGUGGCUCCGGGAUCAAUUAAAGUAAAAGCAGGCUGACCGAAAAUUAAUAACGUACCAAUGAUGACAUCUGGAGAAGUACGACCCUCCUGCUGGGUCAUAGCAUGUAGUCUAGCGCAAGUCAUGGGACGUCCACGCUGACCACCUCCCCGCUGAGACCCACCUCUGACCGAUGCAAUGCCCUGGGCACCACUACUGGAGCCUCCAGCUGAAAAAUGACCAACUGGCUGAGUAGGGGUGGGGGUGGUCCUCUGAGCCAACAAUGGGCAAUCUCUCCUGAAGUGGUCUUGACCACCACACUCAAAGCACCCAGAAAACUGCUGCUGCCCAUAAGAAAAAGUAUGGCUACCGGAUGACCCACCAUGGAAACUACCACCAGAACCAUACUGCUCAGACUGCUGCCUACCCAAAUGACUUCGAGAAGGUCUCCUGAAAUGUCCUCUAGUCCUGUUUCGAGCACCAGAGCUCGAUCCCCCACUACUGCCACUACCAGCAGAAGACCCAGAAGCGGAUAAUGAAGUAGCCUUCUUGGAUGGACCUUGACUAGGGCCACCGUAAUCACGAGGCCGAACACCAUAUGUCCCCCUAGACUCAAUGGCCAUGGCUGCACCAACUGCAUCCUCAAAAGUCGGGUAAAUCACCCCUGUCAUCUUGUCCGCAUACACUCCACCAAGUGCCCCAAUGAACAUCUCAAUCCUGGUCCUCUCAUCAGGAACCAAAUAUGACACAUGGUAGUUCAGGGAAGUGAACCUUUCCUGGAACUCUAAGAUACCCUCAUCAUCCCUCUUCGACAUAUGCAGGAAAUCCGACUGAAUUCUGCUGCGGUGGGCAUGAUUGAAAUACUGCCCCAAGAAGAGAGUCUUAAACUGCUCCCACGACAUAUUCAGCGUAUCCUCAAUAUUCCUGCUGGCAAGCGACCACCAAUGAUGUGCUGAAUCAUCCAGAAAGUUACUGCUAUUUUCACCUUUCUUUCUUCUGGCAGCUCAGUGUUCGCAAAAGCCUUUUCCAUCUUAUCCACCCAAUUGUGAGCAUCAAGAGGUCCCUUGGCACCCUUGAACUCUCUGGCUCCAGCUUCAAAAACUUCUCUCCUUUUCACAGUAGGAGGGCGUGGAGCUCGAUCCAUGACAUCCCUCAGCAUAUUUCCAAUAUCAUCAACCAGACCCCUGACCUCAUUGCCCUCAUCGGCAUUGGUCGAAGUGGCCACACGGGGUUGCCGUGGGCGCCUAGGAGGCAUAGUACCUGAGGAAGAAGAAAUUUAGUAGUCUAUAAACAAGACUAACACAACAAUCACACAUACCCAAUAACACAUAGCAUCAAAAGCAUAAAAUGCCGAUGAAUCCGCCGCGGUCAGAUCAUCACUCUAUAGACACUACGUGCUAGACACUACGUGCUACUUAGGCAAAUAUGAUAGUGACAAGGAAGCAGGAAAAGGAAACCUAAAGCUCUGAUACCAACUGACACGACCCACCCCGAAUUUCACCCUGAAACCCGGAGUAAGUCGUGCGGGGACCACCUCCAAGGAAAAUUUACCGAAAAGAUUGGUAAAACCUUCCUUGAAAAUAGACAACCCUAACCCGAAAAAUCUCCAAUUCACACACUUACUACAGCACUUCCAAAAAAUAUCACACAAAUAUCUAGCUAAAUAAAAGCAAAUAUUAUUCUUCAGCAAUUCUAAACAUAAAGUCAACCGACCGAGCACACCACCGGAAUAAUAUACAAUAAUCCCAAACUAUUCAGAGCUACUAGACACUAGCGGAAGCAAGAAAACACUAGUAGGUUAAACAGGUAACCUACUGAUGAAAACUGGCGGAAAAGCGGGUAACUAUGCCUCGUCUCCUACUAGGUCCAACCUGAACUCUGCAGACUGGGCAAUUUAAAACGAAGGGCCCAGGGGAAAACAUGUGGAACAGUUAGAGUGAGUGGACAAAAAUAAAUUAAAUAAAAAUAUUUCUUUAUGCAUCCCCAAUUUAAUUUCCAGAUAAAAUAAUACUGCAUGCAAUCGCUCAAAAGCGCUCAACUCAAAAACUGGCAACUUCACGACCAGCACCGGCUAGUCUCCAAAACUUAAUAAAAUACAGCCUCUCAGGCUAAAUUAUAUAUAAACAUAUAUAAGUGUAUGUAUUUACACUCGUCAGACUCCUUGUAUGAAUUCUAAGAACAAAUUAGAAAAAUAGAAAUUCAUACAAGGCUACUACGCUUGCGUCUAACGCUCACGUCACACCAUAAUGGAAUUGUACCUCAGUAUGGCGGAAAAAGCACGAGUGUAUAUACGUGUGGACUCCCUGUAUGAAAACCUAAAUAAACCAAAUAAAAAAAAUAGUUUUCAUAUAGGGCUACUACGCUUGUGUCUAACACUCACGUCACACCAUAAUGAUAUUUUACCUCAUUAUGGCGGAUCAGCACGUAUGGCUAUCUAGCAUUUACAUAUACAUACAAUCAUCAUAAACAUCCAAUAAACAUAUCCACCGAAAAUCUCAUUUUCGGGAUCUCUCCAAAGGAGGAAAAUUGCCAAAUAUCCGAGAAAUAAAUAAAUCUCAGGAAAAGAAAUAAAUGAUCAACAGAUAAUUCAUCGCAUGCUUUUCACUUAAAAUAAAGGUCCACUCACAAAUUAGGCCUAAGCCUGAUGACGCUCCGAGGCUUCCUUUGCUUGGGCCUCCUCUCGUCCUGUUGCAAAUAUAUAAUUAAUUUCCCACCAACAAAACUAAUAUUUAAACAAAAUGGGCAAAAUUAAACGUGCGUUGCCCAAAUUCGCCAUUCUUAACUCAAUACGGCUCAAACUUCGCCGAACAUACCGGCAGCCGUAACAACAACUUCCCACAGAAUACGACUUAAAUCCUACGGCCGGAUUCUACAUUAAUUAACCGCCAAAAAUACCAAACUUCGGAAAAUCACAAACCUAUCCAAAACUCAUCCAAAAAUUCUAUAACUCACUUCAAUAAACUCCUCUUAAUAUUCAACAUUUAAAAACAUAAAAAUCUCCCAACCGGCGGCGGCUCCGCCGGCAGCGGCGGCCGGAGGCCUAUUCCGGCGACCUCCAAAACCUAUGAAAUUUUGACAGAAUAAUCUCCUCAUCAUGCUCUACAACUUUCCUGACCAACACAAAUCCAAAAUCCAAGCCUAACUAGGGCAAUCGAACACAAACACCUAAAAGCCCUAUAAAUUGCAACUCCACAUUUCUCCUUACCUAGCUCAAGAGAGGGAGAGUCCUUUUAGGGCAAGGCUGCUGGGUUGGAGGGCUACAAAACCGUACCAAGCUUGCCCGGUUUGGUGGCCGGAGGAGGGAGUUCCGGCGAAAUGCUUCCCGGUGUCUCCGGCGGGAUUUCUCCUCUUCCGGCGGGUUAGAGGCUCGGGGGCUAGGCCGGGGAGGGAGAGGAGGUGGCGGGGCUCCGAACUGGGAUGGAGCGGCAGCAGCUGGUGGCCGGACGACGGCAGGAGGACGGCCGGACGAACGGGCAACGGGGAGGAAGAAAAUCGGGGAGAGAGAGAGAGAGAACCGGGUAGAAAAGAGAGAGAAGAGAAAAUGGGUUUGGGCCUCACACCCUAAACCGGUCCACACCUUUAAACAACCCAAUUCUAAAAAUGAAACACCCCGAAAAAAUAAUACCCGAAUAAAAAUUACCUUUUACUAGCUAAAAUUUACUAUUUUUACCGUCGUCGUAUUUUCCUCUUACGAAUAAUCCUCCGCACAUAAUCGUCCCCGAAACCCCUCUAGGGACCAAUUAAACUAUUAACUCAAUGACGGAGACGGUAAAAUUCUUAUUAUAAACCAGCUAGUAAAUAAGGUAAAAAUAUAAGAGUCGGGAUGUGACAGUCAUCGUAUUCUUACUCUUUUCAAUUUUAGUUACUCUCUUUUAGUUUCUGUUUACAAGUUACUUUUCAUUAGCAUAAGACCCUUUUCAAAAAACCCAAAAAUCUUAAGUACUAUUUAGUUUGAGUCUUUGUGUUUGUCUUUAUCAAUUUGCGUAUUUUGUUUUGUGUGUUUUUGUAUAGUUAGUUUAGAUAUUUCAAAAUUUAAGUUGAACUAAUAUCCUCGUGGGAACGACAACCCAUUCUCUUCCAUUCAUUAUACUACAUCCACCCUAUAUAAUUGCAGGAAUCCAUCAACUUUUUGGCGCCGUUGCCGAGGAUCAUUUAGUUUAAUUUAAAUUUUGGAGCCUUAUUCUAAUUAUAGUUUAUUUUGUGUGAUUUGGUGUCAAAAGUGUGUUUAAGAAAUCAGUCCAGUUUUUUCUGUUUCUUGUAUGUUCUGUAACUGUUUUGCAACGCUUAUUAAGAACUGAUAAUUUCAUAUUCUUGC